rnacentral:lncRNA from 1 species
UUUUUGUUUGCGUACAAAUAUCACGGAUUUGUAUAUUUUGCAUUCCAAAGAUAUUUGUCUAGUCCUGUUGUGUGUGUUAGUGUUUGUGCUGUUAUAAAUUGGUCAUCAUUCCCACAAAUAGAAUGAGCAAAACCAUUCCGAAUCAAUACAAAAAGUAAGAUGGCAAACAAUAAGCUUUAAAACAAAAAAUCAUAAUAAUAUUGAUAAAAUAAUUUAGUAGACAUAAAAUUAUAUGAGUUAAACAAACACUGAGUUAGAGUAAGAAAAAUGGUGAGUCUCUGAUCCUUGCAGUUUAUUUCAAAUCGUUCUAAUCUUUAAAAUGUUAUGUUCUUUUAUAUAAGCAGCUGAAACGGACUUGUGUUGAUAUUCGUAUAUCCAACUACCGUCGUCUUCUAAUCAUCAUCAUUGAUGCUUUUAACGAACCACCUCCAAAGCCAUUCCAAACAAACCCUGUUUCUCCUGUCC